UACGUAGGGGGCAAGCGUUGUCCGGAAUUACUGGGCGUAAAGCGCACGUAGGCGGCUUUGUAAGUUAGAGGUGAAAGCCCGGGGCUCAACCCCGGAAUUGCCUUUAAGACUGCAUCGCUUGAAUCCGGGAGAGGUGAGUGGAAUUCCGAGUGUAGAGGUGAAAUUCGUAGAUAUUCGGAAGAACACCAGUGGCGAAGGCGGCUCACUGGACCGGUAUUGACGCUGAGGUGCGAAAGCGUGGGGAGCAAACAGG
rnacentral:rRNA from 1 species